UCGACGAGACCUUCGGGUCUAGUGGCGCACGGGUGCGUAACGCGUGGGAAUCUGCCCUUAGGUACGGAAUAACAGUGAGAAAUUACUGCUAAUACCGUAUGAUGUCGCGAGACCAAAGAUUUAUCGCCUAGGGAUGAGCCCGCGUUGGAUUAGCUUGUUGGUGGGGUAAAGGCCUACCAAGGCAACGAUCCAUAGUUGGUCUGAGAGGAUGAUCAGCCACACUGGGACUGAGACACGGCCCAGACUCCUACGGGA
rnacentral:rRNA from 1 species